rnacentral:rRNA from 1 species
UACGGAGGGGGCUAGCGUUGUUCGGAAUUACUGGGCGUAAAGCGCGCGUAGGCGGACGUGCAAGUCGGGGGUGAAAGCCCGAGGCUCAACCUCGGAACUGCCUUCGAUACUGCGGGUCUCGAGUCCGGGAGAGGUGAGUGGAAUUCCUAGUGUAGCGGUGAAAUGCGCAGAUAUCAGGAGGAACACCGAUGGCGAAGGCAGCCUUCUGGGCCAACACUGACGCUCAUGCACGAAAGCGUGGGGAGCAAACAGG